AGAGGCGCGCGAAGCGCUGAGGCGGGCGUGGACCGCGCCGGAGUUACGAAGCAGGUCCCAGACCGCCCUAUACCGCCGGGUUUUCUCCCAACGUCAGGCCCGAUGGCUCGGCUUCCCCAGUUAGAAGGGGAAGAUAAAAGACUUUGAUUCAUGAAGAAUCUGCUUACUGAGAAGUGUAUAUCAAGCCACAAUUUCCAUCAAAAAGUGAUUAAGCAGAGAAUGGAGAAGGUUGAUUCCAGGUAUUUUAAGGAUGGUGCAGUUAAGAAACCUUAUUCUGCAAAGACACUGUCCAACAAGAAGUCUUCUGCAUCCUUUGGGAUCCGGAGGGAGUUACCUAGUACCAGUCAUCUAGUGCAGUAUCGUGGCACACAUACUUGUACCCGACAGGGCCGGUUAAGAGAACUGCGCAUCAGAUGCGUGGCCAGAAAGUUCUUAUAUUUAUGGAUUCGAAUGACUUUUGGAAGAGUAUUUCCCUCUAAAGCCAGAUUUUACUAUGAGCAGCGAUUACUACGGAAGGUCUUCGAAGAAUGGAAAGAAGAGUGGUGGGUUUUCCAGCACGAGUGGAAACUCUGUGUUCGAGCUGACUGUCACUACAGGUAUUACCUGUAUAACCUGAUGUUCCAGACCUGGAAGACCUACGUGCGUCAGCAGCAGGAGAUGAGGAACAAGUACAUUAGAGCCGAGGUUCAUGGUGAGAAAAAGAAGUCCAUGUCUGAAGAAGAUGCCCACAUUUACUUUGCAGAAGGUCAUAGGAAGGACAAACACAUUGUCUCAGAGAGAGAAGAACUCUAGGUCAAAGGAAGAUUUGUUUGAUUCUCUUUCAUAUUUUUCAGAAAGUGUGAUCUCUGAGUGGGCACCUGUAUGAUUGAUCCCUAUGGUUUUCUCCAUAUGGCAUGGUUUGAGCCCUUAAAACUCAUUUAAUCAGAAUUUGUGUGAACUGGCUGUUCCUGGCCUGCUGGUUCAGUGGGCUGGCUGUGACUCCUGUGGCACCUGGGGCUGCCAUCUAUCUUGCUGCGUCAAGUUGCCCAGAGACUCUGGAGCAGAGCUGCAGUGCUCUUUUCUGAUCUGCUUUGCUCAAGUUGUCCCUUAGUGAUACUGUGGCCACUUUAGGUCUGGUCAGAGUCUGGUUUCUCUGUGAAUUGAGCCCAGAAACACGUGGAGAGUCUAAGGGAAAAAGACAUAGAGUUUCAAAAUGAUAAUACAGGCUGCAUUAGCAGCAGAAUGUCCUAAAGGUAGCUCAAACUCUGCAAGUCACAAGUACAACCUGUCAACUCCCCUACCACUUAUACCUGCUGUUCCUUUGACUCUUCUGUCUAAGAAGACUUACUUAGGAAUGGUGUCCAUUCCUCAUGCCUCAUGUCAUCACUUACCUAAUCUUUUAAGAAGGCCCUCUGAGGCAUCACUUGCAAUCAUCUUUGCAUUGCUACUGCCUGAGAGUAAUCCUCAUCUUUUUCCCAGAGUGUUGUAAGUGCCACUUCAUUAAUCUCCCUCAUUUAUUUUUUCAUGCUUCUCAUUGUACACAUAGCUGCAAGAGUGGUAAGACAUAGAUAAGAUCAUGACACUCCUUUACGUAAAGUUAACCCUGCUUGGUAUGUCAUACAAGGUCUUCAUCUCUUCUGCUUUACACCCUCUGCCCUUGACACACUGGAUGUGCACUUCUUUAUCUUUCCAUCUUUGUCCCUGUAGUUCUUCCUUCAGGCCCAUUUAAAUGUGUAGCUUUCCUUGAUCUCCCCCAGCCCAGUGAUCUUUCCCCUGUCUGUAUUCCCAAAGUAUGAGAAGCUCUUACCCAAGCCUCAGGAUUACUGCACCAAAUGCACUGUUUCACUGAUGCAAAGCAAAAGAUGCGACAGGCCUGGAAGUCCUGGUUGAUCUACGUGGUUGUUCGUAGGACCAAACUUCAGAUGCAGACUACGGCUCUGGAGUUUAGGCAACGGAUUAUCUUACGGGUGUGGUGGAGCACGUGGAGGCAGCGACUAGGACAGGUCCGUGUGAGCCGUGCCCUCCAUGCCUCUGCUUUGAAGCACAGGGCCCUGAGCCUCCAGGUGCAGGCUUGGUCACAGUGGCGGGAACAGCUCCUGUAUGUCCAGAAGGAGAAACAGAAGGUUGUCUCUGCAGUGAAACAUCAUCAGCACUGGCAAAAACGGAGAUUUCUAAAGGCCUGGCUUGAAUACCUGCAAGUCCGCAGAGUGAAGAGACAGCAGGAUGAGAUGGCUGAGCGAUUCCAUCAUGUCACUGUGCUCCAGAUACACUUCUGUGACUGGCAGCAGGCCUGGGAGCGGAGGGAGAGCUUGUACGCUCACCAUGCCCAGGUGGAGAAACUGGCCAGGAAGAUGGCCCUGCGGCGCGCCUUUACUCACUGGAAACACUACAUGCUGCUGUGUGCAGAAGAAGCUGCCCAGUUUGAGAUGGCAGAAGAGCACCACAGGCACAGCCAGCUGUAUUUUUGCUUUAGAGCCCUAAAAGACAAUGUGACCCACGCCCAUCUCCAGCAAAUAAGAAGGAAUCUCGCUCACCAGCAGCAUGGUGUCACGCUGCUGCACAGGUUCUGGAACCUCUGGCGGUCUCAGAUUGAGCAGAAAAAGGAAAGAGAGCUGCUCCCCUUACUGCGUGCUGCCUGGGACCACUACAGGAUAGCACUGCUGUGCAAAUGUAUCAAAUUGUGGGUACAGUAUACUCAGAAGAGGCGGUACAAGCAGCUGCUACAGGCCAGAGCGGAUGGUCAUUUCCAGCAGAGAGCCCUGCCUGCUGCCUUCCACACAUGGAACAGACUCUGGCGAUGGUGCCACCAGGAAAAUGUCCUCAGUGCAAGAGCAACACGUUUCCACAGGGAGACAUUAGAGAAGCAAGUAUUUUCUCUCUGGAGGCAGAAGAUGUUUCAGCAUCGAGAAAACCACCUGGCAGAGAGAAUGGCCAUCCUUCACGCAGAGCGACAGCUUCUGUAUAGGUCUUGGUUCAUGUGGCACCAGCAGGCAGCAGCACGUCACCAGGAGCAGGAGUGGCAAACAGUGGCCUGUGCCCACCACCGCCACGGGCGGCUCAAGAAAGCUUUCUGCCUCUGGAGGGAAAGUGCCCAAGGGCUCAGAACAGAGAGGACGGGCAGGGUGCGGGCAGCAGAAUUCCACAUGGCCCAGCUCCUGCGUUGGGCCUGGAGCCAGUGGAGGGAGUGCCUGGCCCUGCGGGGAGCGGAGCGGCAGAAGCUGAUGCGAGCAGACCUGCACCACCAGCACAGCGUGCUGCACAGGGCGCUGCAGGCAUGGGUGACUUACCAGGGCAGGGUGCGAAGCAUCCUCCGGGAGGUGGCAGCCAGGGAGAGCCAGCACAACAGGCAGCUGCUGCGCGGGGCAUUACGUCGCUGGAAAGAGAACACCAUGGCCCGAGUGGAUGAAGCCAAAAAAACCUUUCAAGCAAGUACUCAUUACAGAAGGACCAUAUGUUCCAAGGUCCUGGUCCAGUGGUGGGAAGCUGUGUCAGUGCAGAUAUAUUACCGACAGCAGGAGGACUGUGCCAUCUGGGAGGCCCAGAAGGUGCUGGACAGGGGCUGUCUGCGGACCUGGUUUCAGCGCUGGUGGGACUGCAGCCGGAGGUCAGCCCAGCAGAGACUGCAGCUGGAGAGGGCAGUCCAACACCACCGCCGGCAGCUGCUGCUGGAGGGGCUGGCCCGGUGGAAGAUGCACCAUCUGCAGUGUGUCAGGAAGAGGCUCCUGCACAGGCAGAGCACCCAACUGCUGGCACAGAGACUCAGCCGGACCUGCUUCCGCCAGUGGAGACAACAGCUGGCAGCCAGGAGGCAGGAGCAGCGGGCGACGGUGCGGGCCCUGUGGUUCUGGGCCUUCUCGCUGCAGGCAAAGGUGUGGGCCACGUGGCUGGCCUUUGUACUGGAAAGGAGGAGAAAGAAGGCGCGGCUGCAGCGGGCGCUCCAGGCCUACCAGGGGCAGCUCCUCCAGGAGGGUGCCACGCGGCUCCUGCGCUUUGCAGCCAGCAUGAAGGCCUCCCGGCAGCAGCUGCAGGCCCAGCAGCAGGUCCAGGCGGCUCACAGUCUACAUCGUGCCGUCCACCGCUGUGCCACGCUCUGGAAACAGAAAGUGCUGGGCCGGGGCGGGAAGCCUCAGCCCCUGGCAGCCAUCGCACCCAGCAGGAAAGUGACGUUUGAGGGUCCCCUUCUCAACCGCAUUGCUGCUGGGGCUGGGGAUGCCACCCUUGAGACCAAGAGGCCACAGGCUUCUCGGCCUCCGGGAGCUCUGGGCCGCCUGGCUGCUGAGGAGCCCCACGCCCUGGAGCUCAACACUGCCCACUCAGCGAGGAAGCAGCCGCGACGCCCACACUUCCUGUUGGAGCCUGCGCAGAGCCAGAGGCCUCAGAAGCCACAGGAACAUGGCCUAGGCAUGGCUCAGCCAGCAGCCCCCUCCCUGACGCGGCCCUUCCUGGCAGAGGCCCCGACAGCACUGGUCCCACACAGCCCCCUGCCUGGGGCUCUGUCAAGCGCCCCUGGCCCGAAGCAGCCCCCGACGGCAAGCACAGGCCUGGAGCUGCUGCUGCUGCCUCCUUCCUCCUUCAUGCCCUGCGGGGCGGCUGCACCAGCCAGGAUGUCAGCACAGCGGGCUACUCCUAGGGAUAAGCCCCCGGUCCCCUCAUCCCUGGCCAGUGUCCCUGACCCCCAUCUACUCCUUCCUGGGGACUUCUCAGCCACCAGGGCUGGGCCUGGACUUUCAACUGCAGGCAGCCUGGACCUUGAGGCUGAACUUGAGGAGAUCCAGCAGCAACUACUGCACUACCAGACCACCAAGCAGAACCUCUGGUGAGCCCUGCGAAACGCCCUGCGGCCCAGGCUACAGGAGCAGGUGUUGCCUGGAAAGGUCCUGUCGGCGGCAAGCGAGCAGCCUGCGCAGGUGGCUGGAGCUGAACAGAGAGGAGCCGGGGCCUGAGGACCAGGAAGUAGAGCAGCAGGUGCAGAAAGAGCUGGAACAGGUGGAAAUGCAGAUCCAGCUGCUGGCAGAGGAGCUCCAGGCUCAGCGCCAGCCCAUUGGCGCCUGCGUUGCCCGCAUCCAGGCCCUGCGGCAGGCCCUGUGCUAGCGUGUUCGCACCAGGAACGCAGGUGCUGGGCUGUCGGGGAGGCCUCAGGCCACCUCCAGGAACAGAACACAGUUUUAAGUUUGAUUUUUUUAUUUCAAAAUGCUUUGCAAUUAAAUGAAUUACUGUUCA